rnacentral:ncRNA from 1 species
AACGAUGCAGUGAGCGGGAAGAGUAGGAACGGUAGUUGUCCGGAGAGAGGGAGCGGCUGGUGAGAGCUCCCGUCAGCGCCGUCCGAAGUCGCCCGUGAGCAGCCUCCGCGAACCAAGUAGCGGAGUGCCGGUCAGACGACCGUUAUCGUUUCGAGCGCCGGCCGCUCUUGUUUGCGUGCCGGAACUAAAGGUGGUACCGCGAAGUCAGCCCUUCGUCCUUUAU